GCCUGCCUUUAAAUGUCGUACGAGCACCGAAAUCAAUUUUUUUAAUAUCAUAAUAAAAUCGGUCGACAUGUGUGCUCCGUUCUCUUGUAUAGGGAGAAGAAAGACAGAGUGAGGUAGCAGCGCGCUAGUAAUAGAUGCGCAGGAG
ncrna:unclassified sequences lysM-TM7 RNA